rnacentral:rRNA from 1 species
CCUACGGGGGGCUGCAGUGGGGAAUAUUGGACAAUGGGGGCAACCCUGAUCCAGCCAUGCCGCGUGUGUGAAGAAGGCCCUCGGGUUGUAAAGCACUUUCAGUGAGGAAGAACGCCUGGUGGUUAAUACCCAUCAGGAAAGACAUCACUCACAGAAGAAGCACCGGCUAACUCCGUGCCAGCAGCCGCGGUAAUACGGAGGGUGCGAGCGUUACUCGGAAUUACUGGGCGUAAAGCGCGCGUAGGUGGCUUGAUAAGCCGGUUGUGAAAGCCCCGGGCUCAACCUGGGAACGGCAUCCGGAACUGUCAAGCUAGAGUGCGGGAGAGGAAGGUAGAAUUCCCGGUGUAGCGGUGAAAUGCGUAGAGAUCGGGAGGAAUACCAGUGGCGAAGGCGGCCUUCUGGACUGACACUGACACUGAGGUGCGAAAGCGUGGGUAGCAAACAGGAUUAGAUACCCGAGUAGUC